GACGAACGCUGGCGGCGUGCUUAACACAUGCCAGUCGAACGGAAAGGCCCUGCUUUUGUGGGGUGCUCGAGUGGCGAACGGGUGAGUAACACGUGAGUAAUCUGCCCUUGACUUCGGGAUAACUUCAGGAAACUGGGGCUAAUACCGGAUAGGAGCUCCUGCUGCAUGGUGGGGGUUGGAAAGUUUCGGCGGUUGGGGAUGGACUCGCGGCUUAUCAGCUUGUUGGUGGGGUAGUGGCUUACCAAGGCUUUGACGGGUAGCCGGCCUGAGAGGGUGACCGGCCACAUUGGGACUGAGAUACGGCCCAGACUCCUACGGGAGGCAGCAGUGGGGAAUAUUGCACAAUGGGCGGAAGCCUGAUGCAGCAACGCCGCGUGCGGGAUGACGGCCUUCGGGUUGUAAACCGCUUUCGCCUGUGACGAAGCGUGAGUGACGGUAAUGGGUAAAGAAGCACCGGCUAACUACGUG
rnacentral:rRNA from 1 species